UCGGGAAUUUUGGGCAAUGGGCGAAAGCCUGACCCAGCAACGCCGCGUGAAGGAUGAAGUCUCUCGGGAUGUAAACUUCGUAAGAAUAGGAAGAAUAAAUGACGGUACUAUUUGUAAGGUCCGGCUAACUACGUGCCAGCAGCCGCGGUAAUACGUAGGGACCAAGCGUUGUUCGGAUUUACUGGGCGUAAAGGGCGCGUAGGCGGCAUGACAAGUCACUUGUGAAAUCUCUGGGCUUAACCCAGAACGGCCAAGUGAUACUGUCGCGCUAGAGUGCAGAAGGGGCAAUCGGAAUUCUUGGUGUAGCGGUGAAAUGCGUAGAUAUCAAGAGGAACACCUGAGGUGAAGACGGGUUGCUGGGCUGACACUGACGCUGAGGCGCGAAAGCCAGGGGAGCAAACGGGAUUAGAUACCCCAGUAGUCCCUGAGCGGGCUGGCAAGGCGCAU
rnacentral:rRNA from 1 species